AAAUUCCCCUUUUAACAAAGCAUUGUAUUAUAUUUAGAAUCUAAAAUUGCCCUA
rnacentral:tRNA from 1 species